rnacentral:tRNA from 1 species
CAGAGAAUAGUUUAGUAUAAAAUAAUAAUUUUGGAGAUUAUUGACAAAGAUUUAUCUUUUUCUCUGA